ACGAACGCUGGCGGCGUGCUUAACACAUGCAAGUCGAACGGAAAGGCCUCUUUCGGGGGGUACUCGAGUGGCGAACGGGUGAGUAACACGUGAGUAACCUGCCCUUGACUUUGGGAUAACUUCAGGAAACUGGGGCUAAUACCGGAUAGGAGCUCCUGCUGCAUGGUGGGGGUUGGAAAGUUUCGGCGGUUGGGGAUGGACUCGCGGCUUAUCAGCUUGUUGGUGGGGUAGUGGCUUACCAAGGCUUUGACGGGUAGCCGGCCUGAGAGGGUGACCGGCCACAUUGGGACUGAGAUACGGCCCAGACUCCUACGGGAGGCAGCAGUGGGGAAUAUUGCACAAUGGGUGGAAGCCUGAUGCAGCAACGCCGUGUGCGGGAUGACGGUCUUCGGGUUGUAAACCGCUUUCGCUCAUGACGAAGCUUUGUGUGACGGUAGUGGGUAAAGAAGCACCGGCUAACUACGUG
rnacentral:rRNA from 1 species